CUAAUGUACAAAAAUUGCAGUUUGGUUUGGAAUGAGAUGACUGCAAUUCAAGAAUUAAGAUUAGAACUACUUGAUGCAUUACCAAUCACAAGUAGUCCUUCUCUCAAAGGCAUUUGGAUAACUAGUUGCAUCACUCAUGAUGUCACUACGUAUUCUUCGGUUUCUCCAAAGAUGAUGCGCAUUGUA